rnacentral:lncRNA from 1 species
GAUCGAGAUAUCUUAAUUGCAGGACUUGCGUUUGCAGCGACAACUUUUAAAAAGUGAAACGAACUCCGCAUGUAUUAAUUUAUUCAGCCUUUCCGUAAUUGACGUAUGUUACAACAUACCCUUAAUCUUGCUACUUAUUUUAAUGAUGCAGCUAACUAGAUCAGGCGAACAAGAAAAUCGCAUAAGGUGAGAACGUUAAUUAUGUUGACCGGUGCCAGGGCAAAUGUCGCACCAUAUCUACUCGGUAAGUCAAAUCUGCAUCGUAACUUGGGCCAAGUUCCCUGUCUUAACAUUGCGCUCAUGCAUUUUUCACACAUUGGACAAUACGCAUUACAUGCAAUAUCGGAGAAAAAUAAUCGUCGCAUUAUCGAUUAUUCGUGUGGGCAAUCGGCAUGUAAGGACGCGUACCCAGCAACGUCAAUAUCGAAUCUUUUGCACCAUCGUGCUGCACGGAGAGGAUGGCUGGCAGCAAGGAUGCUGCAAAAAGAUUCGGCGUACCUACCGGGGUGCGUUCCAAAAUUAACCUUGGGUAACCCCAGAGGUUACCCCAUGUAGAAGCGAUAUGAAUUAUCUGAGGUUGGGUAACCAUAAUAACCUCUCAAUUUUAUGAGGUAAAGAAAGUUACCUUCGUGGUCAACUAACUAUGACGUUUUGGAACGACAUUAUACUCCUACCAUUGGUAAUCAAUUCUCCAUAUUAGUAAUUUUGGAACGCGAUAUAGUAACCAAGGUUGAAUUUUGGAACGCACCUCCGCGCGGCGUGGCGUUGCUUUCGGCGCGUGAAGUUGACCGCGCGACGCGGCGUCACUUUUGACGCGUGAAGUUGACCGCGCGAGAGUGACGAAGCCGUUUCACUCCACCUUUUCGUGUAUCGCUGUUAGAACGUAACGGACGCAAGGUGGAUCGGCUCCGGAACAAGUGGCAUCGCGAAUCUCUUAAUUGGUAAAUAUAACACGUAUCAACCUUGCGUUGUAAUUCAUUCGAACGUGUAUCUGUCAAACACUUGUUCAAGCGGAGAUCGCGACUCGUAACGACAUGUCAAUCGUGAUACGCGAAGUCGAUCGCGCGGGAAGGAAUCUCUCCGCCAUCGCCAUAUUAAUCGCAUUCCUUUCUCAUUUGCAGAUCACGGCAAGUCUGACAUGGACUGGCUCCGCGGGGCAAAUGUCGCGCCAUAUUUACGGGGUAAGUCAAAUAUCAUAACUUGAAUCGAAUUCCCAAUAUUACUUAAUACGUUUAUGCAUUUUCCAUAUAUUGGACAAUACGCGUUACUCGUAAUAUCGGAAAAAGACAGUCGUCGCAUCAUUGAUUAUUCGUAUGGGCAAUCAUCGACAUGUAGAGACGCGUACUUAGGGAUGCCAGUAUCGAAUCUUUUUGUAACAUAGUGCCGCUAGCUAUUCUCUUUGCACGAUGCUGCAAAAAGACUCGGCGUACCGCGGCGUUACUUUUGGCGUAUGUAAUCGUGCGAUGCGACGUCACUUGCUUGAAGUUGAUCGAGCAAAAGAGACGAAGCCGUUUCAUGCCAUUUUAAUUAGCGUAUUACUUUCAGAACGCGACAAACGCAGAAUAAAUCGACUUCGAAACGAGAUGGCAUCGCGAAUCAUUUAGUAAGUAGAUAAAGAGUCAAUGAUGCAUCAUAAAUCGAUAUAAUCUCGUCCGAUUUAAAUGAAAAUAAACGAAUCGCAGCCGGUUCGUCGCGUCGCGCGUUUGUUUCGGGAGUGCCGUUCAAACAAUAGGACUAAAAGGACUUUUCGACAUAAUUCCCAUUCGAAUGAACUCUUAGUUCGAGUAAACCGCUCUUUCCGGGUCGCACUUUCGAAGUAUCGACAGUAUAGGACGCUCAUAGAAGUGAUCGACGACCGAUGACGCACCUAAAAAACCUGGUAAUGGGACGCAAAGGCGCUGUCACGGUUGUCGGUCUAAUUGAGAUACACGUUCUAAUCAUCGGCAAACGAUCGACGGCAGUAAGAAUUCUUGAUUACGAUCUUAAUACGAUUGUAAUUUUGUGUCUUCUGCGCGGUGCUUGACGUUUGCUCGUGUUAGUUACCGUGUGUUCUGUACUCGUCGGCUCAAGGUGUUGAUUCCACGGAGCAUUCUCCGAACUGGAAAUCAUCGUGGGGUUAUAAACGUGGAGUGACGCAUUAGUAUGUCGCGCGAAAGACUUUUGAUUAGUCAGAUUAGUUAAUUAGUCCUCGCGCGUUUGUAACAUAUGUAAUCGCGAGUGUUUUCCGCGAGUGUCUCGUGACGACGGAAGGAAGGACUGCGUGUUCUGAGAGGAGGAGGAGGUCCAGGAAGGGCAUCGGGCAUCAGCGGAGCAACCUCGGGUAUCAUCGAAGCUUCGUGGCCGCAUAACUCCGCUCGUUGCGCAUCGGAUCGGUGAGUGACGAUUUUUUUUAACACAACUAGUAAGUGUGACAUAUGUUGACUUUGCGUCGUAAUUCGUUCAAACGCGUGUCUUAAUAUUCGGUCGAGCGAAUUACAAUGUACAUCUCAGGGCAUAGCGCGAUCGCGCGACACGCGACAUGUUGAUCGUGACGCGCCAAGUUGAUCGCGCGAGAAGGAAUCCUUUCUCGUUAUCUUAAAGUUGCAUUUCUCUUCCUCAUUUACAGAAUUAUGAAAAAUAUUUAAUCUUGAACUUGCAUUUUAUUAUUCAAAUUUUCAUUUGCAUUUUAUUUCCAAAUUUGGUGUAGUAUUGUGCUUGAGAUUAUGCUGGCACAGGUACGUCAUACAAAGAGAGAGAGAGAGAGAGAGAGAGAGAGAGAGAGAGAGAGAGAGAGAGAGAGAGAGAGAGAGAGAGAGAGAGAGAGAAUUUAAUAAUUACUUAUAUAUUUAAAUCAAUGUGCAUAAAAUGUUCAUCUUGAAGGUAAUCAAUGUUCACAAAGGUCCGUAGAUAAUGUAUGCAAUUUCUGGAUCGUUUUUGUGUUACGUCUACAAUUUUUUAAUUUUUUUUGGUAAAGUGUUAUUGCAUAAAACACGAUUAAUAUGCGUAAUAGAAGCAGGACUACUGUAUAAAGCAACUGAAUCAAACCACUUUUGCAAAAAUGUUUAAAAGUUUCGAGAAAAGUAUCCCUACGAAUACUUUGGAGUAAUCAGAGAGUUUUCCGACCUCAAACGUCAAACAAGUAAAUUUUUUCCUACUGAUAUUAGUUUUACAUUUCGGCACAAAACGCGGGAACGCUCAUUAAAAAUUUUUUAUUUUACAUAGUGCCCGCGAAUACUUUUGAGUGAACGGAUCGCUCUCAGGUCUCAAUUGUUAAGAAAUUAUUUUUCUUCCAUCGUCAUUGAUCUUAGGGAUUGUUCUCGUCUUUGUAUAUUUUGGCAUAAAUCGUAAAGGCAGUCGUUUGGAAUAUUUUAUCUUAAUUCUAUGAAAGAUGAAAAGUGCUUCCAAAGCAUUAUCGAGUUAGAAAAAGACGUAUGAAUAUUAUAAAUAAAAUUUAUAUUUAUAUAUAAAUGUAUUAAAAGUACGCAAAUACCAACCUUAAAUGAUAUACUCGAAGAGAUCCAACUGGUAUUGUCGUGGGAGGAUUGGAGAGUAGUAAAUUGACAAAAGUAAUUAAUUGUUCAUAAAAAGUCAAUUUAUUUCGUACAUAUUUUUAUGAAAUUGAUUUGUAAUUUCUUUCUCAUUUUAUAGUAGAUAGGUUGCGCGUUUCCCUAGGCUAGUGACUUCUGGUCAAUCAGCAUAUUUUGUUGAUGUAUAAGAAAAAUCGACAGUGCACGGAGACAAUUUUCUUUUAAAAAUUAGCCUGAAAAUCGUGGCAAUUGUGAGGCAACGUGAACUUCGAAGUAUUUUACUAUACCUUUAACAAAAUUUACCAAAAUUUUAGUAAAUUUUACUAUGCUUUUAACAAAAUUUACUAAAACUUUCCCAAAUUUUGUUAAAAGUAUAGUAAAAUUCUUCAAGAUUUACGUUGUCUCACAAUUACCACGAUUUUCAAAAUAAUUUUUAAGAGAAAAUUCUUUCCGUGUGGUUGUGCAAGAGAUAAUCAGUUCAUUAGUUUUAAAAGUCUUGAUUUUUUAUAUAUGUAUCCAUAACUUAUGAAAGAAGUUUCCUCUUACACAAUUACGUCCAAUUAUAAAUUCUAUUACAUGUAACUUAUCCGGUAAAAAAUCUUCUUAUCAAAACAGAUCAAAUUAUAUCAUUAUAUUACAAAUUAAUUGAUAAAAUUAGAUCGGCUCUGAUAUAAUUUGAUCUAUAAUUUGAUUCUUGAUAUAAACAUUUUUUCCUAGAUUAUUUAUUACAUCUGUCCAUUUUUCUGUAUUUUUGUCGCAGCAAAUACUUUUGUAACCAAUAUUUUCAAUGCAUAAUUAAAAUAUUAUAUCGUUUGUUAUAUUUUUAAUAUUCUUAUAGCAAUAAAAAUAGUCUUAUGACAUGUUU